CCCUUAGAUGUUCUGGGCUGCACGCGCGCUACACUGAUGCGAUCAACAAGUUUUUCCUAUGUCGAUAGACACGGGUAAUCUUUUGAACUCGCAUCGUGAUGGGGAUAGAUUAUUGUAAUUAUUAAUCUUCAACGAGGAAUUUCUAGUAGGUGCAAAUCAUCAGUUUGCAUCGAUUACGUCCCUGCCCUUUGUACACACCGCCCGUCGCUGCUACCGAUUGGUUGAUCUGGUGAAUUAUUCGGACUGCCGGCUGAAGGGGUUUCCUCAUCUGCCAGCGGAAAGUCUUGUUAACCCUAUCAACUAGAGGAAGCAGAAGUCGUAACA
rnacentral:rRNA from 1 species